UACGUAGGGUGCGAGCGUUGUCCGGAAUUAUUGGGCGUAAAGAGCUCGUAGGCGGUCUGUCGCGUCGGUCGUGAAAACUUGGGGCUUAACCCUGAGCUUGCGGUCGAUACGGGCAUGACUGGAGUUCGGCAGGGGAGACUGGAAUUCCUGGUGUAGCGGUGAAAUGCGCAGAUAUCAGGAGGAACACCGGUGGCGAAGGCGGGUCUCUGGGCCGAUACUGACGCUGAGGCACGAAAGCGUGGGGAGCGAACAGG
rnacentral:rRNA from 1 species